rnacentral:rRNA from 1 species
GGGUUGUGAGGUUAAGCGACUAAGCGUACACGGUGGAUGCCCUGGCAGUCAGAGGCGAUGAAGGACGUGCUAAUCUGCGAAAAGCGUCGGUAAGGUGAUAUGAACCGUUAUAACCGGCGAUGUCCGAAUGGGGAAACCCAGUGUGAUUCGUCACACUAUCGUUAACUGAAUACAUAGGUUAACGAGGCGAACCGGGGGAACUGAAACAUCUAAGUACCCCGAGGAAAAGAAAUCAACCGAGAUUCCCCCAGUAGCGGCGAGCGAACGGGGAGCAGCCCAGAGUCUGAAUCAGCUUGUGUGUUAGUGGAACGGUCUGGAAAGUCCGACGGUACAGGGUGAUAGUCCCGUACACCAAAAUGCACAGGUUGUGAACUCGAAGAGUAGGGCGGGACACGUGGUAUCCUGUCUGAAUAUGGGGGGACCAUCCUCCAAGGCUAAAUACUCCUGACUGACCGAUAGUGAACCAGUACCGUGAGGGAAAGGCGAAAAGAACCCCGGCGAGGGGAGUGAAAAAGAACCUGAAACCGUGUACGUACAAGCAGUGGGAGCACCUUCGGGUGUGACUGCGUACCUUUUGUAUAAUGGGUCAGCGACUUAUAUUCUGUAGCAAGGUUAACCGUAUAGGGGAGCCGCAGGGAAACCGAGUCUUAACUGGGCGUUAAGUUGCAGGGUAUAGACCCGAAACCCGGUGAUCUAGCCAUGGGCAGGUUGAAGGUUGGGUAACACUAACUGGAGGACCGAACCGACUAAUGUUGAAAAAUUAGCGGAUGACUUGUGGCUGGGGGUGAAAGGCCAAUCAAACCGGGAGAUAGCUGGUUCUCCCCGAAAGCUAUUUAGGUAGCGCCUCGUGAAUUCAUCUUCGGGGGUAGAGCACUGUUUCGGCUAGGGGGUCAUCCCGACUUACCAACCCGAUGCAAACUACGAAUACCGAAGAAUGUUAUCACGGGAGACACACGGCGGGUGCUAACGUCCGUCGUGAAGAGGGAAACAACCCAGACCGCCAGCUAAGGUCCCAAAGUCAUGGUUAAGUGGGAAACGAUGUGGGAAGGCACAGACAGCCAGGAUGUUGGCUUAGAAGCAGCCAUCAUUUAAAGAAAGCGUAAUAGCUCACUGGUCGAGUCGGCCUGCGCGGAAGAUGUAACGGGGCUAAACCAUGCACCGAAGCUGCGGCAGCGACACUAUGUGUUGUUGGGUAGGGGAGCGUUCUGUAAGCCUGCGAAGGUGUGCUGUGAGGCAUGCUGGAGGUAUCAGAAGUGCGAAUGCUGACAUAAGUAACGAUAAAGCGGGUGAAAAGCCCGCUCGCCGGAAGACCAAGGGUUCCUGUCCAACGUUAAUCGGGGCAGGGUGAGUCGACCCCUAAGGCGAGGCCGAAAGGCGUAGUCGAUGGGAAACAGGUUAAUAUUCCUGUACUUGGUGUUACUGCGAAGGGGGGACGGAGAAGGCUAUGUUAGCCGGGCGACGGUUGUCCCGGUUUAAGCAUGUAGGCUGGUUGUCCAGGCAAAUCCGGAUAAUCAAGGCUGAGGUGUGAUGACGAGGCACUACGGUGCUGAAGUAACAAAUGCCCUGCUUCCAGGAAAAGCCUCUAAGCAUCAGGUAACAUCAAAUCGUACCCCAAACCGACACAGGUGGUCAGGUAGAGAAUACCAAGGCGCUUGAGAGAACUCGGGUGAAGGAACUAGGCAAAAUGGUGCCGUAACUUCGGGAGAAGGCACGCUGGUGUGUAGGUGAAGCCCCUGCGGGUGGAGCUGAGACCAGUCGAAGAUACCAGCUGGCUGCAACUGUUUAUUAAAAACACAGCACUGUGCAAACACGAAAGUGGACGUAUACGGUGUGACGCCUGCCCGGUGCCGGAAGGUUAAUUGAUGGGGUUAUCCGUAAGGAGAAGCUCUUGAUCGAAGCCCCGGUAAACGGCGGCCGUAACUAUAACGGUCCUAAGGUAGCGAAAUUCCUUGUCGGGUAAGUUCCGACCUGCACGAAUGGCGUAAUGAUGGCCAGGCUGUCUCCACCCGAGACUCAGUGAAAUUGAACUCGCUGUGAAGAUGCAGUGUACCCGCGGCAAGACGGAAAGACCCCGUGAACCUUUACUAUAGCUUGACACUGAACAUUGAGCCUUGAUGUGUAGGAUAGGUGGGAGGCUUUGAAGCGUGGACGCCAGUCUGCGUGGAGCCAACCUUGAAAUACCACCCUUUAAUGUUUGAUGUUCUAACGUUGGCCCCUGACCGGGGUUGCGGACAGUGUCUGGUGGGUAGUUUGACUGGGGCGGUCUCCUCCCAAAGCGUAACGGAGGAGCACGAAGGUUAGCUAAUCCUGGUCGGACAUCAGGAGGUUAGUGCAAUGGCAUAAGCUAGCUUGACUGCGAGCGUGACGGCGCGAGCAGGUGCGAAAGCAGGUCAUAGUGAUCCGGUGGUUCUGAAUGGAAGGGCCAUCGCUCAACGGAUAAAAGGUACUCCGGGGAUAACAGGCUGAUACCGCCCAAGAGUUCAUAUCGACGGCGGUGUUUGGCACCUCGAUGUCGGCUCAUCACAUCCUGGGGCUGAAGUAGGUCCCAAGGGUAUGGCUGUUCGCCAUUUAAAGUGGUACGCGAGCUGGGUUUAGAACGUCGUGAGACAGUUCGGUCCCUAUCUGCCGUGGGCGCUGGAGAAUUGAGGGGGGCUGCUCCUAGUACGAGAGGACCGGAGUGGACGCAUCACUGGUGUUCGGGUUGUCAUGCCAAUGGCACUGCCCGGUAGCUAAAUGCGGAAGAGAUAAGUGCUGAAAGCAUCUAAGCACGAAACUUGCCCCGAGAUGAGUUCUCCCUGAGACUUUAAGUCUCCUGAAGGAACGUU